rnacentral:rRNA from 1 species
AUUGAACGCUGGCGGCAGGCCUAACACAUGCAAGUCGAGCGGAGCGGCGGACGGGUGAGUAAUACCUAGAAAUCUGCCUGGUCGUGGGGGAUAAAGUUCUGAAACAGACGCUAGUUACGACUGCUAGCAGUUGAGCCAAGGUCGGAUGAGCUAGUUGGUGAGGUAAUUGCUCACCAAGGCUACGAGCCGUAACUGGUCUGAGAGGGUGAUCAGCCACAGUGGAACUGAUACACGGUCCAGACUCCUACGGGAGGCAGGAGUGGGGAAUAUUGGACAAUGGGCGAAAGCCUGAUGCAGCGAGGCCGCGUGUGGGAAGAAGGUCGUCGGAUUGUAAAGUACUUUCAGUCGGGAGGCGUUACCGACAGAAGAAGCACCGGCUAACUCAGUGCCAGCCGCCGCGGUAAUAC